GUGUACGUACAAGCAGUGGGAGCACGCUUAGGCGUGUGACUGCGUACCUUUUGUAUAAUGGGUCAGCGACUUAUAUUCUGUAGCAAGGUUAACCGAAUAGGGGAGCCGAAGGGAAACCGAGUCUUAACUGGGCGUUAAGUUGCAGGGUAUAGACCCGAAACCCGGUGAUCUAGCCAUGGGCAGGUUGAAGGUUGGGUAACACUAACUGGAGGACCGAACCGACUAAUGUUGAAAAAUUAGCGGAUGACUUGUGGCUGGGGGUGAAAGGCCAAUCAAACCGGGAGAUAGCUGGUUCUCCCCGAAAGCUAUUUAGGUAGCGCCUCGUGAAUUCAUCUCCGGGGGUAGAGCACUGUUUCGGCAAGGGGGUCAUCCCGACUUACCAACCCGAUGCAAACUGCGAAUACCGGAGAAUGUUAUCACGGGAGACACACGGCGGGUGCUAACGUCCGUCGUGAAGAGGGAAACAACCCAGACCGCCAGCUAAGGUCCCAAAGUCAUGGUUAAGUGGGAAACGAUGUGGGAAGGCCCAGACAGCCAGGAUGUUGGCUUAGAAGCAGCCAUCAUUUAAAGAAAGCGUAAUAGCUCACUGGUCGAGUCGGCCUGCGCGGAAGAUGUAACGGGGCUAAACCAUGCAC
rnacentral:rRNA from 1 species